UACAGAGGGGGCCAGCGUUAUUCGGAAUUAUUGGGCGUAAAGGGCGCGUAGGCGGCCCUGCGUGUCUUCCGUGAAAUCCCUCGGCUCAACUGAGGACGUGCGGAAGAAACUGCAGGGCUCGAGUCCGGGAGAGGAGGGUGGAAUUCCCAGUGUAGCGGUGAAAUGCGUAGAUAUUGGGAGGAACACCGGUGGCGAAGGCGGCCCUCUGGACCGGUACUGACGCUGAUGCGCGAAAGCGUGGGGAGCAAACGGG
rnacentral:rRNA from 1 species